CCCUCUUCAUGUUGCUAAAGCCUAAAACACACCUGAGCCUCAAGGGGAUUUCUUUUUUGAGAAAAUAUAGCCUUGUGUCUUCCAGAUCUGUCAGACAUACUGUACUUCAGUUCAUCUGCUUGAGAGACUGAACCCUAUUUGCAUUCAAAUCAGAUAUAAAAAAAUAUUGAUCAAAAGUUUCUAUACUCAGAGAAUGGACCAAAUGUAGGGCUGGAAGAAUGAAAUCAGGUCUAAAUAUAUAGAAAACAGUGCAACAUGGACAUACCUGAAGUAAAUACAAUUCCAAAGCUUUAAAAAAAUGAAGAAAAAAAAAGAAACAUAUGGAAAGACACCAGGAAUAGCCUGAGAGAAAAGAGAGACAAAUCAUGCUAUAAUUCUGUAAUUAGUUUCAGAUAAAGGAAAUCUAUUUUUAUUCCUCCCCACCUCCCACACCAUCAAAGGAGAAGAACAUUUGAUGAAAUUGUCAUCCACAGGGUUUGGAGUGCUUUUCUUUACAGUAUCACCAGGGACUGUGUGUGUGAGCAUCUUACCUUUCACUGCAUAGUUAUCUCCCCAGCAACCUGCAAACUACCUGGAUAUUCAUGUUUCAGUUAAAUCCAAGAAAAGAUACAAAGAGACUCCAUAGAUAUUUUUAAAAUGUUAAACUGUUAAAUAUUCAUUGAAGAAGCAGAAUUUCAACAGAUGUAGCGCAUAUGAUUGAAGAUACAUUCUUAUCAUUUCUAAACAAAUAUUCCAUACAACUAGUAAAGUUUCAGGAAGACUCAUCUACCCAUCCUAGAUGCAAUUGUGCAUUUGUGUUCAGUGUGUAAAGUAGUGCACUUUAAUUGCUUUUGGUCCUGCGCUUGUAACAAAGUGUGACACACAGAUGUAUGGUAAAGCAUUUUCUGCUACUUUAAUCUUUUAUCAGAAAAUUGCACCAUGCUGCUGUUAAAUGUUCAGAAGCACAGCAAGUAAAAGGAAAACAUUUCAAGAGAAGGAGUGCCAGGUCUAGUACAAAGUUCUUCUUACAUCUUACUUUCGUCUUUUCUCCAUUGUGAUUUUUUUUUGCUAAGAUAUUUGGACAAAGUGGAGGAAAGUAGAAAUAGAAAGGAAUCAUAAAAGCUUCUUUCCUUGAUUUGUUAUUCUAAAAAUAAUAAUGACCCAUUAAUACUUACAUGCAUAUUCCUAUGCACCAUAAAAGCCAGAGCUAUUUUCCAAUCCAUUAUUUCUUUCUGAGUCCAUAAAUAAUUUUAAAAACAUGCCUCGUUCAUAGGAAUUAUUGUCAAUCUUACCAGAAAGAAGGGUUUCAUUUGUAUAAGUAGCACACAACAUGUUGCUUCAUUUUUUUUAAGAGGAUGUGCAAAGACGGGAAUAUAAGUCCUAGAUGGAUAGGCAGGCAGACAGAAAAACAGUCAAACUGCAUGUCCCAAGUAUUAUAACUUCACAAUUGAUUUAAUAUUAUCAAAUUAAACAAAAGAGUAUUGCUUAGAUAUUAACCAAAUUGAAUCACAAAUCUAGGUUUCUUUUCACAUUUAACCUUUAUAUAUAUUAUCCUUGUACCUUUUAUUAGAAGUAAUAUUUUUGCUGUUUUUCAGCAAGACCUUCCUUUAGAAAGUUUAUUUUUGCUUCAUUUAAUCUUUAAAUAGUUUCUUGUGACAAUACAGAUAUAUCUUUGCGAUAUAUGAGAAGUAUAAGUUAAAAUGCUACAGGCUGGGAAGGAACAAUCCACUAAUGUACUUAGCAAUAUAUAAAAUUUGUCUAACAAUAUCAAAGAAUCUUUUAAUCUAUUCCCAGUGUUCAAGUGAAUAGUCAAAUGCCACAGCCUGUACUAAGAAGUAAUAGCUUGUAUUCUGUUUCUUUAUUCAAUAAGCCAAUGCAGUUUGUUUUAUGAACUUGGGAGUUUGUAGAUAAAUGUCUGAAUCUGAGUUUCUCCAAAUUUUAGGCAGUAAUACACUUUGUCUCAAACAAUUGUCAAAUCAGUGUGAACAAUAUUAAUUGUUUCUUCUAAAGAGAUAUUCAUUGUUAUCAGUAGAAUACGAUUCCUCAUGUACAUGAUUUGGGCUCAAAAAGGAAAACAUACAAAAACCUCCAUGCUGAAGUACUUAAUGGACAUUUAGAUUUAGCAGACAUUCCUUCCUCCUUUUUGUGAAGUCUAUACCUUCAA